rnacentral:rRNA from 1 species
UAAGGAAUAUUGGUCAAUGGACGCAAUUCUGAACCAGCCAUGCCGCGUGAAGGAUGAAGGUCCUCUGGAUUGUAAACUUCUUUUAUCUGGGACGAAAACGGGAUUUUUAUCUCAAUUGACGGUACCAGAGGAAUAAGCACCGGCUAACUCCGUGCCAGCAGCCGCGGUAAUACGGAGGGUGCGAGCGUUAUCCGGAUUUACUGGGUUUAAAGGGUGCGUAGGUGGGCUUAUAAGUCAGUGGUGAAAUCUCCGAGCUUAACUUGGAAACUGCCGUUGAUACUAUAGGUCUUGAAUUAUCUGGAGGUAAGCGGAAUAUGUCAUGUAGCGGUGAAAUGCUUAGAUGUGACAUAGAACACCAAUUGCGAAGGCAGCUUACUACAUAUAAAUUGACGCUGAGGCACGAAAGCGUGGGGAUCAAACA